rnacentral:rRNA from 1 species
GUGUACAGCCAUGCCACCCUGAAUGUGCCUGAUCUCGUCUGAUCUCAGAAGCUAAGCAGGGUCAGGCCUGGUUAGUACUUCAAUGGGAGAUCGCCUAGAAAUACCAAGUGCUGUAAGCA